AUUAUCCUUCGUCGCCCCGGCGGAGGCCGGGGCCGUCAGCAGAAAAUACGCAACGCCCGCCACGCCCCCACGCGGCAACCCCGGCCUCCGCCGGGGCGACGUUGUUUAGC
rnacentral:pre_miRNA from 1 species